rnacentral:tRNA from 1 species
UAUUAAUUUAUUUAGCAAAAAAAUGCAUUAAAUUUAGAAUUUAAUUAAACUAUAAUU